ACAAACACACAAGCAAUGUUCUUCAUGCAAACACACCUGAAAAUUCUCCAAAACGGAAAAGAACAAGAAACACUGCCAGCUCUGCCAGUCCGGCCACACCAGAUGUCCCCCCUCCCAAACGAAGAAGAUGAUCUCAGAACCUAUUAUCAUAUAGCUGUUUUGAGGGAUUUUUCUGUGUUACAGAUACAUGUGUUCAGAUUUGAUAUGCCUACAAGAAGCUGUUUCAACUGUAGGGAAUUAACCAUUAAUGUGUGAUUAUUGCCUUAGAUACCAUUGUAAAUUGAAAGAGAAAGAUCCAGAUAAAAGAUAUCAGUGUUGUCACUUUUGGCCAUGAAGGGUACUGGUAUGACAAUGUCAAUUUUAGUAACCUGUAUAUCAUAUUUAACAUUUUCUUAUGUCAGUGGAAAAUUAAAAUGGCAAAGGUG
rnacentral:misc_RNA from 1 species